rnacentral:rRNA from 1 species
AUAGCGUAUAUUAAAGUUGUUGCAGUUAAAAAGCUCGUAGUUGAACUUUUGGUGUGGUGCUGUGGUUUAGCCUAGCUGGACUGCAGUGCUGUGCCUCUUUUGGGGGAAACGUCACUUGUGGCGGCGAACCCGGGUUACUGUGAAGAAAUUAGAGUGUUUAAAGCAGGCGAUCGCUUGAAUACAUUAGCAUGGAAUAACAAGAUAGGACUUGGUUCUACUUGUUGGUUUUGGAGCCAGAGUAAUGAUUAAUAGGGCCAGUUGGGGGCAUUAGUAUUCAGCAGUCAGAGGUGAAAUUCUUGGAUUUGCUGAAGACUAACUAGUG